rnacentral:rRNA from 1 species
CAGUCGCCGCGGUAAUACGGAGGGGGCUAGCGUUGUUCGGAGUUACUGGGCGUAAAGCGCACGUAGGCGGCUUGGUAAGUUAGAGGUGAAAGCCUGGAGCUCAACUCCAGAAUUGCCUUUAAGACUGCCGAGCUAGCAGGUGAGAGAGGUAAGUGGAAUUCCGAGUGUAGAGGUGAAAUUCGUAGAUAUUCGGAAGAACACCAGUGGCGAAGGCGGCUUACUGGCUCAUACUGGACGCUGAGGUGCGAAAGCGUGGGGAGCAAACAGGAUUAGAUACCCCGGUAGUCCCUGUCUCUUAUAC